rnacentral:rRNA from 1 species
CAUACGCGUUCAGAGUUUGAUCCUGGCUCAGGACGAACGCUGGCGGCGUGCUUAACACAUGCAAGUCGAGCGGGGAUUGAUGAAGUGCUUGCACAGAUUCAAUUCUAGCGGCGGACGGGUGAGUAACGCGUGAACAAUCUGUCCCAGACAGGGGGAUAACACUUGGAAACAGGUGCUAAUACCGCAUAAGACCACGGAGUCACAUGGCUCAGGGGUAAAAGAUUUAUCGGUUUGGGGUGAGUUCGCGUCCGAUUAGCUAGUCGGUGAGGUAACGGCCCACCAAGGCGACGAUCGGUAGCCGACCUGAGAGGGUGAUCGGCCACAUUGGAACUGAGACACGGUCCAA